GACGAACGCUGGCGGCGUGCUUAACACAUGCAAGUCGAGCGAUGAAACACCUUCGGGUGCGGAUUAGCGGCGAACGGGUGAGGAACACGUGAGGAAUCUGCCUUCCACUCUGGGAUAACUCCGGGAAACCGGGGCUAAUACCGGAAACUUGCAACUGGCGGCAUCGACGGUUGAAGAAGGUUUUUCGGUGGAAGAUGACCUCGCGGCCUAUCAGCUUGUUGGUGAGGUAAAGGCUCACCAAGGCGACGACGGGUAGCCGGCCUGAGAGGGCGACCGGCCACACUGGGACUGAGACACGGCCCAGACUCCUACGGGAGGCAGCAGUGGGGAAUAUUGGGCAAUGGAGGAAACUCUGACCCAGCGACGCCGCGUGAGGGAUGAAGGCCUUCGGGUUGUAAAUCUCUUUCAGCAGGGAAUAAGCGAAAGUGAAGGUACCUGCAGAAGAAGCACCGGCUAACUAUGUGCCAGCCGCCGCAGUAA
rnacentral:rRNA from 1 species